AUGUCAAGCCGCCUCUCCCUCUGCCGACUGCCUGCCUGCCUGCCUGCCUGCCUGCCUGCCUGUGCCAAGAAGCCUACCCGAAUCGAGGGAAGAGAGAACGAUGCCCGGGAGCGCCUUAACUUCACGCCGGGCGCAAGGGCGGAAGGGGCCGAUUGGUUGACAGCCGGCUGCCUUGCCUUAAGAAGCAGGGCGUCUGAUGUCAGUGAGUGGGGCGGUUUCGUUGGGGGCGAGAGGCCUGGCCGACCUUGCGAGGGUCUUCCCCACGCCCCUGGUGCAUUUCAACGUGCGGCGAGGGUGAGGGGUGUGGAGAUCACGCUGGCGAGUGCCCCAGGCCCCUGCAGACCAGGCCGCUUUCUCCCCUGGGGGUGCCAGAGAAGGGCAGAGCGUUGCUGUUACGGCAGGUGUCCGCCAGACGGCGCCAAAGCGCCGGCAGAGCUGCUCUGGCUCUGCCUGGCUGCAACUCCAGGCUCAGAAUGGGCCUGGAGCAGGAUGGAAGGAAACGCAAGGAGGGCCCAGACAGAGCCUUGUGUUGGUGUACCGGGUACCUGUGACGCUGUGGCCGUUUUGUGUCAACAUGCAGUCUGUGCCCCAGCAACUGGAGCGCUGGACGGGCCGUCGAGGGCCUGCGUGCCCUUUGCUCCUUGGGGGGCACGGCGCUGGGACCCAGGAGGACCCGGCUUGAGUCCUGGACAUGCGGAUUUCUAGAGUCAGGCAGGGGAGGCAUCCGGCCUCUGGAAGGCUGGGCUUCAGGUAGUGAAGGCGGUGUGUCACUGCGGUGGUAUCUGGGGAGGCGUGCCGAGCCUCUCCGUGUGCGCGUCCCCUCCAGAAAUCUCCACAUCCCCCUGCUUCUCUCUCCACCAGAGCCGCCUCUCCCUCUGCCGACUGCCUGCCUGCCUGCCUGCCUGCCUGCCUGCCUGCCUGUGCCAAGAAGCCUACCCGAAUCGAGGGAAGAGAGAACGAUGCCCGGGAGCGCCUUAACUUCACGCCGGGCGCAAGGGCGGAAGGGGGCCGAUUGGUUGACAGCCGGCUGCCUUGCCUUAAGAGCAGGGCGUCUGAUGUCAGUGAGUGGGGCGGUUUCGUUGGGGGCGAGAGGCCUGGCCGACCUUGCGAGGGUCUUCCCCACGCCCCUGGUGCAUUUCAACGUGCGGCGAGGGUGAGGGGUGUGGAGAUCACGCUGGCGAGUGCCCCAGGCCCCUGCAGACCAGGCCGCUUUCUCCCCCUGGGGGUGCCAGAGAAGGGCAGAGCGUUGCUGUUACGGCAGGUGUCCGCCAGACGGCGCCAAAGCGCCGGCAGAGCUGCUCUGGCUCUGCCUGGCUGCAACUCCAGGCUCAGAAUGGGCCUGGAGCAGGAUGGAAGGAAACGCAAGGAGGGCCCAGACAGAGCCUUGUGUUGGUGUACCGGGUACCUGUGACGCUGUGGCCGUUUUGUGUCAACAUGCAGUCUGUGCCCCAGCAACUGGAGCGCUGGACGGGCCGUCGAGGGCCUGCGUGCCCUUUGCUCCUUGGGGGCACGGCGCUGGACCCAGGAGGACCCGGCUUGAGUCCUGGACAUGCGGAUUUCUAGAGUCAGGCAGGGGAGGCAUCCGGCCUCUGGAAGGCUGGGCUUCAGGUAGUGAAGGCGGUGUGUCACUGCGGUGGUAUCUGGGGAGGCGUGCCGAGCCUCUCCGUGUGCGCGUCCCCUCCAGAAAUCUCCACAUCCCCCUGCU
rnacentral:lncRNA from 1 species